ensembl:lncRNA
UCAGAAAUACUGUAGUCAGUAGGAGCAGGGAGGUGAUCGUCCCUCUGUACUCAGCACUGGAUCGGACCCAAGUUUGGACAACUUGAAAAAAUACAUGCACUGGAAUGCAGCUCCUCUCCAGGAAACAGCGACUGUAAAUAACUCCUGGAAAUCACAGGAAUAAAACAGAUGGGUCUGAAAAAGUUAUGAGACUAAAAAAAAAAGGAAUCGUUGUGAGGCAUCCACUGGCAGGCUACAUGACUGGUGUCUUUGAAGAAUAAAGCACUUAUAUGUUGAUGUCCUUCCCAUUUAGCCCCUCUUUUUCUCACAUGGACCUUCUCCAUUCUAACAGAGCAGUUUAAGCAACCGGGUAACCUGACACAUUUUGGGAAGUGACAUAUUGUGCAGCGAGCACACUCGAAUGAUCGAUAUAAAUAAGAAGCAUGACUUCAUCCUUUCAAACAUUAAUAAACUUUUCCAGAAAGAGAUUUUCAGACAUGUCUGCAAAAUGAGCCACGAAAUUAAACAGCGGGGGGAGAGCUUUCUUCCUGGAACAAAACGUGCCCGUUCCUGCACAGCUGGCAGUGCACACCCAAUGCUCUGCCUCAGUGGGCAGUCCCAUCCUUGGGCUGCCCGUGAAUAAAAGCUGUGGCAGCUCAAUAGUCCCGCUGUGCCCAUCCUGGCCCCGAUGCCGUGGGUUGUGCUCGUCCGAAGCUGUAAGCACUUUGCCAUAGCCAAGCAAAGGCUCAACUCACAGAAGUGGAGUGCUUAAGAAUCUGAAUUCCAAACUUAAAAUAAAAACCAGAUGCACACUUGUACAUGCAGGAUGGUGCCAGAUCGUUUUCAGCUUGGGCUCAUUCAGGGUUGUCUUAUGGCCAACAGCAGGCCAGAGCACAGAUCGCGAGCACCUGAGCUACACUGGGAUGGUCUUACGCGGAUAAAUUCUGCUAAAUGUUCACGCUUGCAGCUCUGACACAGCAGAAAGGUGCAGGUUCAGGCUAUGACACCUCCGCAGCCAUCCAUAAACUGAAGGACUCUACGAUAAAGCCCCUCAACGUGACGCAACGCGACGCUUAGAUACACAGCAACGUCACGCCGUGACGUCACGAGGGACCACAAGGCACCGCCGUACUGCUCCGCUCCGCCCGCAGCCACUUCCGCCUCCGCAGCCUCCCGGUAACCCGAG